CCCUUAGAUGUUCUCGGCCGCACACGCGCUACACUGAAAGAGGCAACGUGUUUGCCUGAUUCGAAAGAAUUGGGUAACCCCCUAAUCUCUUUCGUGCUGGGGAUUGAGGUUUGCAAUUAUCCUUCAUGAACGAGGAAUUCCCAGUAAGUGCGAGUCAUUAUCUCGCGCUGACUACGUCCCUGCCCUUUGUACACACCGCCCGUCGCCACUACCGAUUGAAUGAUUUAGUGAGGACUUCGGACUGAGUCCAAUGCGGCUUUCGGGCUGCGUUGGUAUUUCGGAAAGAUGUCCAAACUGUAUCAUUUAGAGGAAGUAAAAGUCGUAACA
rnacentral:rRNA from 1 species